AAAGUCGUAACAAGGUCUCCGUAGGUGAACCUGCGGAGGGAUCAUUACCGAGUGAGGGCGCUUGCCGCCCGACCUCCCAACCCUUUGAUUUGAUCAAGACCUCCUUCUGCCUCGGGGGCGACCCGGACCUCGCGGUCUCGGUCCCCCCGGCGGUCACAAACACAAACCCUGCAUCAAUUGUCGUCUGAGUAAAGAAGUUAAUUCAAUUAAAACUUUCAACAACGGAUCUCUUGGUUCUG
rnacentral:misc_RNA from 1 species